rnacentral:tRNA from 1 species
GGGUGUGAGGCAACUGUCGGUUAGUUGCGGCUGUCUGUAAAACAGUUUCUUUCAAGAACGGGGGUUCAACUCCCUCCACACCCA